GGCUUUUGUGGAGCGAUGGGUAACAAUGCUUCGUGGGUGACUGUUGUUGAUGUGUGCAGAGGGUCCCUGGUUCGCGCCCGGGUAUGGGCGAGGGGACGGUCUAAAGUUAUACUGUUACAAAUGCACAUGACUGCUUGUACCACAAUUCUGUUUUAAAAAGCAAACCUAAAAGUUAAUUUAACUAUUUUAUGAUAAAGACAGGCGUUGAAGCACAUUAGAGUGACUACCCCUAAAAACCAUUGAAUGGGGUUCUGCUGUUUCAUCACCCCCAACGCGUUUAAAGGAUCACAGACGUUUUAGACUGAAAAGCCCUAUACGGACUGACCAUGCAAUGCAUGCUUCCAGCAGGAUGCACAGCCAACUGGUUUGCAUGCCCUGCCGAAGGACUAGGUGGUUGGAGUUCGUUGGUGAGUAUACCGGUAGCUAGGUGAUAGACUGCUGGUUAUGUAUCAGGUUAUGUAUAUUUUGAUCAUCGUUAUCGCUAGCAUAGUAGAUGCUAGUUACCCUAACUAGCUAGAUGGCUGGCUAACAUUAGCCUACCUCAAUACAACUUAGUCGAAGAAACACGAGAACAUUUCAGAUGUACGCAAAUCCUUUAUAGGAAAAACUUUUUUCAGAAUUGUGAUGUCACCAGAUUAACUGUGGAUGCAGUAUAACUUUAGCCAGGUAACUAAGAUUGAGGGGACCACCAUAUUUUAGUUAGCUAACUUUAGCAUUGCUAGCUAUUUUUUACUUACAUUGCUAGUAACAGUAAUUGCUAUCUCUCUAAAGUCAAUUGACAACAUCAUAAUAUGUGACUCGUUUCAGGAAACUAGGGGUAUACGUCACUAUUUCACAGGAGAGCCAAUUGAAUUUAAACGUUGUUUUUUUUAGCAAAAUGUGUUUUAUGGCAGAAAUGAACUUUCAUGUGCCUUAAUAACAGACUUGUAUGCCAUCUGUAAAUAUGAAUCAAAUUGUUAAAUUAUGAGCCUAAUUGGUUUAACCACAGAAAAAGAAAGGAUCCUUACCUCUAGCCAUGAUUGGCUCAGAUAAUGGAUGGGCUGGACAUGCCGAGCCAUGAGUUCUGAUUUUUCUGCCAUGUAGGACGCUUCUGUCUAUAACAUGAGCUGGUCAGUAUGUGUAGGUAUUCCUUUAUAACGCUGCUUUUUUGAAAGAUAUUACGUAGUAGAACUGCAAAAGUGUUGCUCUCCACUUUCUGGAGGGCCAAGAUUUGAAAUCAGUGGAAUGCCCGGUGGAAUUAGAGUAUGAUAGCUAAGGAGAUGGAGAAAAUGCUGGCAUUUGAUGGCAAAUAUGCAAAGGGAUCGAAAAGAGAACACCUAUCUCCGGAUUACAUCUUCAAACUAAGGGCAACCAUGGGAUCCGUGACAGAGAGGGAGAAGCGUCCAUCCAUGUAUACGGGUAAGAGAGUCUAGCUAGCUACAUUUUCAGAUAUUAUAUGUUUCUAAUUUAGUCAGAAAGUAGUUUUCAUUUCACGUUAAAGCAUACUUUUAGCUAGCUAGCCAACGUUAGCUGGCUGACUCGUCAACUAACGUUAUGCUUAUGAUCUGGGUAGUAAUAUUAUUCAUAUUUGAGCCAUUUGCAUUACUAGUUAUAGCCUAAUGUUAACUAGAUAGCUAACAUGUAACUUGGUUGGUUAGCUACCUGCAGAUUCAUGCGGGGUAGUAAUGUUAUGAGUUCGGAUAAUUGUUGAGCUAGCUAUGAGCUAUGUGUCUAAACAAAAUGAUAUCACUGCGACAACUGUCGAUACACAUAGUAUAAACCACCUUCUAGUCUUGAAAUCGCCUCAUGUGAAUAUUUAAAGAGAUGGGUGGGGCUAAGGCUUAAGAAGGUGUGAACGAUGCUGAAUGGGUGUAGAAAAAUGAAAGCUCUCUAGGUUUCUAGGUUUACCAAAACAUUCAAGGGAAAUUUUCUCAAAAGUUUAUCAAUUUUCAAAGCAGAAUUACUUUCCCAUUGUUCCUCAACUGUAGUGUAUAAUAUACAAUUUUCUAGCUCGGAGUUUCUACUUUUAUCCAAUGUAAAAAACACAAUUUCAAGUUUUGCUACAUAAGAUCGAGCCAGUUGGUCACAUAUGGCAAAGUUGUUUCCUACUAAUUAUUUGCCAACUUUUGCAUGUCAACAUAUAUCCAUGCCACUCUAAAUUAGUGUCAUUUAGACAACAGUCACAUUAGCCUCUGAAGUGCAACCCAUGUUUAGGGCACACAUAAAUAUUGGAUGCAACUAUGGUGGUACCAUCUAACUUAUGUAUGUACUAACUAGCAGUAACAAACCAACCCAGGGCCAUAGCAAAACAUAUGACAGUUGGUUGCAUACUGUAACGGCGUCACCGGCCUUAAUCUAAUCUGGGUACCAGACUGAUCCCCUGGUCAUGAACAGAUGCCGGGACCUUCCAGAAGGAGUGAAGGUGGGUAUCAUAUAGUGCUGAGCGAUUAGUGCUUUUUGAGGUCAUUUCGGUUUGAUUAUAAAAAAAAAUGUUUUAUCAUGAACUGUUGACAUGAAAUGCAGUAUGCAUUAUGUGGGUUGAAAGCUGUAACAACACAGAAUACAACUAUUAAUAAAAGUCCCAUGAUGGUAGUGACUGCCCAUUACUGUAAAUCACUUAUUAACCAUUCAUAUUGCACAUUACUUAAACAUUUGUUUAAUUUGAUGACUUUAUUAUUUCAUUCCAAGUCAUCAUAUCAUCUCUAUAGAGCUGCUCCCUAUGCCAUCUGACAAAAUCACAAUUUUAGUAGCUCUUCAAAGUAAAUAAGGCAUACUUCUAUGACUGCUGAAAACCAACUAUCAAUCACUUGGAUCAUGUAUUUCAGGUAGACAUACUUUGCGAAGCAACUGCUUUCUAUCCCUCUUGAUUGCACAUUCUCUGUUCUGUCAAUUUCUGUGGGUCUCAGUGCUCCACACAGACCAGUCAAGUAGGUGGGCACGCAAUGGAUUAUCGUCAUUGUAGUUAAUUACCACGUUUUCUGCGCUAAACUAUGUAGAAUUUUGGCCUGUUGAAAACUACAACUCCGUUAAUUGCUCAGCACUAGUAUCAUAACAUGUCCAGCAAUGUGAUUCAAAUGGUUUAGCAAUCUCCAAAAAGUAUUUUAUUCACUGUUCACUUGCUAUUUUCACAGCUUGUCAAACAUUUUUUAAAAACUGUGUCAUGUGACACAAGUACCCUUCUGACACCUCCUCCGUUGUUGCCAGAGUCUCCCUCGAUUGCUAUGAAAAGGACACGCCAUCAUGAAGCCUCUGAUAGUAACCCGAGUUACUACCCUGAUGACACAGAUAGCUUCAUCAACAACGACAGGCUCUUUCAGUCAACACCACCUCAUAAGAUUGCCUGCUGCAGUUGUUCGAGAGCUAUCUAGUUUGCCGCCAAAAAUGCAGCAUCGAAAAGACCAGCAAGUGGGCUGUCAUCAGCAUCAUGCAGACAUGACCUCGCUGUGAGCAUUCCUAUGAAUGUUGACAAGUAUCCGGCCAGCAACAUUCACCUGUCAGCAGCAACAGCUUUCACAGGCUCAUCAUUUGUACAAAUGCAGAAGUAACUUUGAUGAGGGGCCAGGGACUGAUCUACGCUGCCAUGCCCAUCAAUGGGGUGCUGGCAAAGACCUCACCCCAGCCUCACAUCUUGCCUGCUCACCAACGGGCGUCGAUAUGGAGAACAGACUUCAACGUAGUAUAUAUUUGUGUGUCAGAUAUCACCUAUCCCUAACUCACGUAGGUAAUAGAACAGUGACUGUGUGUGUGUGUUCACAGAUGCAUGAGAUGCAGAGAGAUCUGGCGCUCAACACAACCACUCAACACAUCCACAAUAAGAUGGACUGGAGAUGCUUUUGCCAGACGGCAGCCUCAGGUGUUUGAUCGGGAGACCAUCAUUGGAAACAUAUAUGGAGCCAGCACAUGGAGACUUGCAAGAUGAUGUGAUGAAGUCCAGACUGACAGACGGGCUUGUUACUGAUGUCUCUGAAUGAAGAGAGAUUUGGUAUAAAAGUUUUACUAGACACAACUUUUACUUGUAUUGUCUUUUUUCAAGUUUUUUAUUGAAUUGAAUGGUAUCAGUCGAUAUGGGGAGGUAGAAACCCUUUGUAUUCUGCACCAGGGUCAGGCAACUCCUGUUGUAUACGGGACGCCACACAGGAAGGUAUGACCACUCUUGACAUGUUUGCCAAGGUAGCCUCAUUACCACUAGACCGGAUCCGUAUCGGCUGGGAAUGACAAUGAAAGAGGAAAGAUUGUUAUAUUAGUAGAACACUGCUUCUGUGGUAUUAUGGAAAGGGUUGUUUAUUCUACAUGGGCCUGUUUCUACAUUUGAAAGUUAUUAAAACCCUGUAAAAACAACACAUUUCCCUGCACCUAUUUGGUGUAUGUGACAAUAAAACAAGGGCACACCCAAUUAACACCCACAUCAAACCACACCCCUCAGCCAACUCACAUUUGGCUUCCGUAAUGGCUGCCAGUAUUUCUUGAGGAGGAUGCCCAAAAAAAAAAAAAGAGGCCAAAUCAGCGGGUGCAGUUCCUCUUUAAAACCAGCAUAAACAAGUAAUAGCAAUGUAGAGAAAAUCUGUGAACUCUUUUCAGCUAACCAGACGUUCCUUUGAGGCCUACAUUGUAGGCAUGCUCCCUACACAUUCUGGCUUGCAAGUCCUGCUACUACUAUAUAGAAACAAACAAUUCUGUCCACUUUUUGCUCAUGUACUCUGUUCUCUUCCAAAAAUGUGGGCUUAGUUAUCUUGAAUCUGUGGGCAUUGCUUCUCUAACCAUGAGAAUUGGAUUAGCCGUCCAUGCCUAGCCUAGAAUACUUGGCAGGUCUUAGUGUCUGGGUUCACUGGACCUCUCUCUAUUAGACCCAAUGCCCCCCCCCCAAUUCAAUUUGGGGAAAUUACCAACAGCAUGCUCUGCUGCUUAGGACAUGGUCCUAAUGCAAAUCAAUGGCCUUCAUUUCUAAAAGUGGGUUUGACAGCGAUGUGGCAGACAAAUGUAUUUUUCCAGAGUUUGUUUUGCAGACUGAGACAAACCUCACGCAACCUCAUGUUGACUUUUAAACUAAUUGGUGAUUAUGUUUUGUCCUGCGAUGUGAUUUGAGAAAGGGAGCAUUGCGAUUGUAGGACCAUAAGCAAGGGAAACAUCAAGGGUUCUUGCAGUGGCUCUGAGUACUCAUUAAAAAAAAUGUGGUUAUUGAACUGUUUUCAGCUUGCUGUGGCGUUUGAUAACAUAGCCUUGUGGAUGCAUGAUGCCCACUCAGCCAGCAAGUAGGGACUUAAACUCAGACUGGGUUGUGCUAAUUUUGUCCACUCUACAAAAUGUGUUAUUGGACGUUAGGAUGUUACCUCGGGUGAAAUCUUGAGAAGGUCGCUGUCAGCUACACAUUUAUCCUCUGACUUCACACUGAGUGGCAAAGGAAAUGUGCCAUAGAGAAUGAACAAUCAUGACUGUGUCACUGUUGAAACAUUUGUUUACAGUGGAGAUUUAAGAUUUCCUUGAUCUUUUUUGACAAUCCCUGAAGUGAGCCAAUGCCGAAAAGCAGGUCAUUGCAUAUUCGCACAAUUUGUCAUGCGCUCGCUGUAAUAUGAACAAUGGUGGUGUACAUGUACUAGCCAACAAAAGCAUGUCUGUUUGGAAUGUACAGAUGUCGCCACAGAGGUUACCUCAUUUUGUGGGUGUCAUUAUGCUGUAUAUCAUUCUAUGUUGGAAUUUGUUUAAUGUGAUGUUGGCUGCCCAGCGCUUCGGUCAUAUUUUAUUCUCACUGGGAUCAUUAGCCUAAGUAGAGAACAGUGUCUCCAUGUCUUGUUUGUAUGCAUAUCCUGCCUGCAAACCACAUUUCCGGGUCACCUAAAUCCAAACAGUGUAAUUAUUAUUAUACAUUUUUGGGGGAUGGAAAAAUGAUUAAAGUGAAAACUAAAACAACUAAACUCAGAUAUAAAUGUAGAAAACAUAAUGGACUUGUACACUGAGUGUACAAAAUAUGUGCUCUAUGAUCCCUUAUUGAUGUAACUUGUUAAAUCCAUUUCAAACCAGUGUAGAUGAAGGGGAGGAGACAGGUUACAGAAGGAUUUUUAAUCCUUGAGACAACUGAGACAUGGAUUGUGUGUGUGUGUGUACCAUUCAGAAGGUGAAUGGGCAAGACAAAAUAUUUAAGUGCCUUUGAAAGGAGUAUGGUAGCUGGUGAUAGGCACACCAGUUUGUGUCAAAAACUUCAACGCUGCUUGGUUUUUCACGCACAACAGUUUCCCGUGUGUAUCAAGAAUGGUCCACCACCCAAAGGACAUCCAGCCAACUUGACACAACCGUGGGAAGCAUUGGAGUCGACAUGGGCCAGCAUCCCUGUGGAAC